CCAACUCCUACGGGAGGCAGCAGUGGGGAAUCUUCCGCAAUGGACGAAAGUCUGACGGAGCAACGCCGCGUGAGUGAUGACGGCCUUCGGGUUGUAAAGCUCUGUUAAUCGGGACGAAAGGCCUUCUUGCGAAUAGUGAGAAGGAUUGACGGUACCGGAAUAGAAAGCCACGGCUAACUACGUGCCAGCAGCCGCGGUAAUACGUAGGUGGCAAGCGUUGUCCGGAAUUAUUGGGCGUAAAGCGCGCGCAGGCGGAUCAGUCAGUCUGUCUUAAAAGUUCGGGGCUUAACCCCGUGAGGGGAUGGAAACUGCUGAUCUAGAGUAUCGGAGAGGAAAGUGGAAUUCCUAGUGUAGCGGUGAAAUGCGUAGAUAUUAGGAAGAACACCAGUGGCGAAGGCGACUUUCUGGACGAAAACUGACGCUGAGGCGCGAAAGCCAGGGGAGCGAACGGGAUUAGAUACCCCGGUAGUCCUGGCCGUAAACGAUGGGUACUAGGUGUAGGAGGUAUCGACCCCUUCUGUGCCGGAGUUAACGCAAUAAGUACCCCGCCUGGGGAGUACGACCGCAAGGUUGAAACU
rnacentral:rRNA from 1 species